rnacentral:rRNA from 1 species
UACAGAGGGUGCAAGCGUUGUUCGGAAUUAUUGGGCGUAAAGGGCGCGUAGGCGGUGCCAUAAGUCACCUGUGAAAUCUCCGGGCUUAACUCGGAGCCUGCAGGCGAAACUGUGGUGCUGGAGUGUGGGAGAGGCGCGUGGAAUUCCCGGUGUAGAGGUGAAAUUCGUAGAUAUUGGGAAGAACACCGGUGGCGAAGGCGGCUAUCUGGACCGUAACUGACGCUGAGGCGCGAAAGCGUGGGGAGCGAACAGG